CUUUUUUUUUCUUUUUUUUUCUUUUUUUUUUUUUCUUCUGCCAGGUUUCGAAAGAACAGGGAACCUGCUGUCAAAUGAUAGACUGGGAAUCAGAGACAGCUCCAAACUCAGUGUGUGAAGUUUCUAGGCCCUGUUUGAAGGCAGCAGAUGGAGCUGCCUGCCCUGAUCGUAAACAGCAACUGCCUGGAACCAAGUUAACAGCUUCACAUUCUCUUCCUUCAACCCAGCCUCUCGUCAG
rnacentral:lncRNA from 1 species